AGGACGAACGCUGGCGGCGUGCUUAACACAUGCAAGUCGAACGGUGAAGCCCUUCGGGGUGGAUCAGUGGCGAACGGGUGAGUAACACGUGAGCAACCUACCCUUGACUCUGGGAUAACUCCGGGAAACCGGUGCUAAUACCGGAUACGAGCAUCGACCUCAUGGUCUGGUGCUGGAAAGAAUUUUGGUCAGGGAUGGGCUCGCGGCCUAUCAGCUUGUUGGUGAGGUAAUGGCUCACCAAGGCGACGACGGGUAGCCGGCCUGAGAGGGCGA
rnacentral:rRNA from 1 species